rnacentral:rRNA from 1 species
CAAUAGCGUAUAUUAAAGUUGUUGCAGUUAAAAAGCUCGUAGUUGAAUUUUUGCUUGCCGCCGAUGUCGGAACUUCCGUACGUUCGGCGGCGUGCAUCCUUGGGUGGAACCUGUGUGGCAUUAGGUUGUCGUGCAGGGGAUGCUCAUCGUUUACUGUGAAAAAAUUAGAGUGUUCAAAGCAGGCUUAUGCCGUUGAAUAUAUUAGCAUGGAAUAAUAAGAUAGGACCUUGGUACUAUUUUGUUGGUUUGCGCACCGAGGUAAUGAUUAACAGGGACAGUUGGGGGUAUUCGUAUUCCAUUGUCAGAGGUGAAAUUCUUGGACUUCUGGAAGACGAACUACUGCGAAAGCAUUUACCAAGGAUGUUUUCAUUA